GGGGAAUCUUCCGCAAUGGACGAAAGUCUGACGGAGCAACGCCGCGUGAGUGAUGACGGCCUUCGGGUUGUAAAGCUCUGUUAAUCGGGACGAAUGGUUCUUGUGCGAAUAGUGCGAGGAUUUGACGGUACCGGAAUAGAAAGCCACGGCUAACUACGUGCCAGCAGCCGCGGUAAUACGUAGGUGGCAAGCGUUGUCCGGAAUUAUUGGGCGUAAAGCGCGCGCAGGCGGAUUGGUCAGUCUGUCUUAAAAGUUCGGGGCUUAACCCCGUGAUGGGAUGGAAACUGCCAAUCUAGAGUAUCGGAGAGGAAAGUGGAAUUCCUAGUGUAGCGGUGAAAUGCGUAGAUAUUAGGAAGAACACCAGUGGCGAGGGCGACUUUCUGGACGAAAACUGACGCUGAGGCGCGAAAGCCAGGGGAGCGAACGGGAUUAGAUACCCCGGUAGUCCUGGCCGUAAACGAUGGGUACUAGGUGUAGGAGGUAUCGACCCCUUCUGUGCCGGAGUUAACGCAAUAAGUACCCCGCCUGGGGAGUACGACCGCAAGGUUG
rnacentral:rRNA from 1 species